rnacentral:misc_RNA from 1 species
CUAUCUCUCCAUUGUUGGAUGGUCCCCUCAAAUGAGUCUGCAUUGUCGUUGCGGAAUAUUCCAUUGUGUCCCAUCACAAGGGCUGCAUUCGGAGCUUGAGCAAGAGCAUGUUCUAGCGCAGUUUUCCAUUCAAACAAAUCCUCUGAUGAAUCUGCCUUAAGGGUAAAAGCACGCCCAUCACGUCCAUCAGGAAAAAGAACAGUCAACAAUUUCUUAUCUUCCCUAACCACAACACUCCCGG